rnacentral:rRNA from 1 species
AAGAACCCCGGGAGGGGAGUGAAAUAGAACCUGAAACCGCAUGCAUACAAACAGUAGGAGCCUCGUCAGAGGUGACUGCGUACCUUUUGUAUAAUGGGUCAGCGACUUACAUUCUGUGGCGAGCUUAACCGAAUAGGGGAGGCGCAGCGAAAGCGAGUUCGAAAUGAGCGUCCAGUCGCAGGGUGUAGACCCGAAACCAGAUGAGCUAUCCAUGGCCAGGUUGAAGGUGUGGUAACACACACUGGAGGACCGAACCGACUAGUGUUGCAAAAUUAGCGGAUGAGCUGUGGAUAGGGGUGAAAGGCCAAACAAAUCUGGAGAUAGCUGGUUCUCCCCGAAAACUAUUGAGGUAGUGCCUCGUGUGUCGCUCCAGGGGGUAGAGCACUGUUUUGGCUAGGGGGACAUGGAGUCUUACCAAACCAAGGCAAACUCCGAAUACCUGGAAGCGUAAGCACGGGAGACAGAGCACCGGGUGCUAACGUCCGGACUCAAAAGGGAAACAACCCAGACCGCCGGCUAAGGUCCCCAAUAACAGCUAAGUGGAAAACGAAGUGGAAAGGCCGUGACAACCAGGAAGUUGGCUUAGAAGCAGCCAUCCUUCAAAGAAAGCGUAAUAGCUCACUGGUCGAGUCCUUCUGCGCGGAAGAUGUAACGGGGCUAAGCUGUUAACCGAAGCCGCGGAUGCACUGAUUAUUCAGUGCGUGGUAGGGGAGCGUUCUGUAAGUCUGCGAAGGCGGUUCGAGAGGACUGCUGGAGAUAUCAGAAGUGCGAAUGCUGACAUGAGUAACGUUAAAGCAGGUGAAAAGCCUGCUCGCCGUAAGCCCAAGGAUUCCUGCUCUACGUUCAUCGGAGCAGGGUGAGUCGGCUCCUAAGGUCAGGCCGAAAGGCGUAGCCGAUGGGAAUCAGGUUAAUAUUCCUGAACCUGCGUCAGAUGCGAUGGGUGGACGGAGCAUGAAAGAUCAUCCGGGUGUUGGAUGUCCCGGUUGACGAGCGUAGGAGGUCUGCAGGCAAAUCCGCAGACGCAUCUCCAAGGCGAAGUCACGUGCCGCCACGGCGGCGAAGUGAUCGGAAGUGCUUCCAAGAAAAGCCUCUAAGCACCAGUCUGACGCGGACCGUACCGCAAACCGACACUGGUGGGCGAGCUGAAUAUGCUCAGGCGCUUGAGAGAACUCGGGAGAAGGAACUCGGCAAAUUGACACCGUAACUUCGGAAGAAGGUGUGCCGUAGUACCGUGAGAGGAGAGACACCUUGAGCGGGAAUCGGUCUCAGAGAAUAGGUGGCUGCGACUGUUUAUUAAAAACACAGCACUCUGCAAAGUCGAAAGACGACGUAUAGGGUGUGAUGCCUGCCCGGUGCUGGAAGAUUAAUUGAUGGGGUGAGAGCCCUUGAUCGAAGUCCCAGUAAACGGCGGCCGUAACUAUAACGGUCCUAAGGUAGCGAAAUUCCUUGUCGGGUAAGUUCCGACCUGCACGA